GACGAACGCUGGCGGCGUGCUUAACACAUGCAAGUCGAACGGACAGGCCCUGCUUUUGUGGGGUGCUCGAGUGGCGAACGGGUGAGUAACACGUGAGUAACCUGCCCUUGACUUUGGGAUAACUUCAGGAAACUGGGGCUAAUACCGGAUAGGAGCUCCUGCUGCAUGGUGGGGGUUGGAAAGUUUCGGCGGUUGGGGAUGGACUCGCGGCUGAUCAGCUUGUUGGUGGGGUAGUGGCUUACCAAGGCUUUGACGGGUAGCCGGCCUGGGAGGGUGACCGGCCACAUUGGGACUGAGAUACGGCCCAGACUCCUACGGGAGGCAGCAGUGGGGAAUAUUGCUCAAUGGGCGGAAGCCUGAUGCAGCAACGCCGCGUGCGGAAUGACGGCCUUCGGGUUGUAAACCGCUUUCGCCGGUGACGAAGCGUGAGUGACGGUAAUGGGUAAAGAAGCACCGGCUAACUACGUG
rnacentral:rRNA from 1 species